CCCGCGAUAGCUCAGUUGGUAGAGCGGAGGACUGUAGAGGUGUGCAAGCAAUCCUUAGGUCACUGGUUCGAAUCCGGUUCGCGGGA
rnacentral:tRNA from 1 species